rnacentral:rRNA from 1 species
AGGUCAAGCUGUUAAGAGCGCAAGGGGAAUGCCUUGGCAUCAGGAGCCGAUGAAGGACGUGACAAGCUGCGAUAAGCUUCGGGGAGGCGCAAAUAGCCGUUGAUCCGGAGAUUUCCGAAUGGGGAAACCCGGCAGAGCAAUACUCUGUCAGCGUGCAUUAACCGCCUGAACUGAAACAUCUAAGUAGGGCGAGGAAGAGAAAUCAACCGAGAUUCCGCUAGUAGUGGCGAGCGAACGCGGAAGAGGCCAAACCGGAGGAUUUAUUCUCCGGGGUUGCGGACAGUCAAAAGGAAAGAAUGGUUAGACGAAUGGCCUGGGAAGGCCAGCCACAGAGGGUGAUAGCCCUGUAGUCGAAAACGAUUCUUUCAUGGACUGGAUCCAGAGUACCACGGGACACGUGAAACCCUGUGGGAAGCAGGGGGGACCACCCUCCUAAAUACUACCUGAUGACCGAUAGAGGAGCAGUACCGUGAGGGAAAGGUGAAAAGGACCCCGGGAGGGGAGUGAAACAGAACCUGAAACCUUGUGCUUACAAGCACUCAAAGCCCGUUAAUGGGUGAUGAGGUACCUUUUGUAGAAUGGUCCGGCGAGUUAUUGUUAUCAGCGAGCUUAAGGUAUUCAGUACCGAAGGCGAAGGGAAACCGAGUGUUAAUAGCGCGACUUAGUUGGUGGCAAUAGACCCGAAACCGGGUGACCUAUCCAUGGGCAGGUUGAAGUGGAGGUAAAACUCCAUGGAGGACCGAACGCACGUUCGUUGCAAUGACCGGCGAUGACCUGUGGAUAGCGGUGAAAUUCCAAUCGAACCCGGAGAUAGCUGGUUCUCCCCGAAAUAGCUUUAGGGCUAGCGUUAUGUUAGAUUACCGGAGGUAAAGCACUGAAUGGGCUAGGGGCUGAUAAAGUUACUGAACCCUAUCAAACUCAGAAUGCCGGCUAAUUGAUGCAUAGCAGUCAGACUACGUGAGAUAAGUCUCGUGGUCAAAAGGGAAACAGCCCAGACCCACAGCUAAGGUCCCUAAUAGAUACUAAGUGGAAAACGAUGUGAGAUUGCCUAGACAACCAGGAUGUUGGCUUAGAAGCAGCCACUCAUUAAAAGAGUGCGUAAUAGCUCACUGGUCGAGUGGUCUUGCGCGGAAAAUAUAACGGGGCUAAGUAUCUAACCGAAGCUUGGGCUUGUGUUAACACAGGGGUAGGGGAGCGUCGAAUACGGGGUAGCGAGAAUUAUGUGGGAAUCAUAAUGGCCGAAAAUCUAAGGUUUCUUGGGGAAGGUUCGUCCGCCCAAGGUAAGCCGGGAGCUAAGGCGAGGCCGAGAGGCGUAGUCGAUGCACAUACGGUUGAAAUUCCGUAGCCGCUGACAUUUAAACCACAGUGACACUUUGAGAUAGGAGAUCCCGGGCGAUGGUUGCCCCGGGCGUAAGGGACCGAAUACGAGUAGGGAAGUCCGCGAUGUUCCGAGGCGAGAAAAGGCGAAGGUAGGGUGCCCGUACCGCAAACCGACACAGGUAGAUGAGGAGAGAAUCCUAAGGCCAACGGGAGAAGGGUUGUUAAGGAACUCGGCAAAAUGACCCCGUAACUUCGGGAUAAGGGGAGCCUGUCUAUGGCAGGCCGCAGAGAAUAGGCCCAAGCGACUGUUUACCAAAAACACAGGUCUAUGCUAAAUCGAAAGAUGACGUAUA